GGAUUACUGGGCGUAAAGAGCUCGCAGGUGGUUUGUCGCGCUGUUCGGAAAGCUCACAGCUUAACUGUGGACGGGAUUGCGAUAUGGGCAGACUGGAGUACUGCGAGGAAAACUGGAUUUCCUGGGGUACGGGGGGAUGGCGCAAAUUUUGGGAGAAACCCCGGGGGCAAAGGGAGUUUUUGGGCUGUAACCUGACCUUAAGGACGAAAAGCUGGGGAAGCAAACAGGAUAAAAUCCCUGGGAAGCCCCGCCCGUAAACGGGGGGGACUAGGGGUGGGUUUCCUUCCUUGGUAUCCGUGCAAUAUCUAACAUUUUAAACUCCCCCUGGGGAGAGCACGGCCGCGGGGCUAAAACUCAAAGGAAUUGACGGGGGCCCGCACAAGCGGGAGAAUGUGUGGAUUAAUUCAAUGCAACGAAAAAAACCUUACCUGGUUUUGAUCUGCUGAAAACCCUUCUAAUAAUAGUUCUCCCUCUGGGGCCUGUGGACAGGUGGUGCAUGGUUGUCGUCAGCUCGUGUCGUGAGAUGUUGGGUUAAGUCCCGCAACGAGCGCAACCCUUGUCUCAUGUUGCCAUCACUAUAUGGGGGACACUCAGGAGACACUGCCGGACUCACCUGAGAAGAGGGGGGAUAAGACGUAAUCUUCUUGUGCCCCUUAUGUCCGGGUAUUCACACAUGCUACUGUGCGGGGCACAAAGGGCUGCGAUCCCGUGGGGGAGAUCAUAUCCUUUCAACGUUGUCCUCUGUGAUUAUAGGGUGCUGCUCCUCUACCUCAAGAUGUCGGAGUCAGUAGUAAUCGAUGAUCAUGCCCGGUGCGAUACAUACCCUGCCGGGGCUCACACACACCGUCAGACACGUCGAGAAUGUCACACACACCCUAAGUCGGGGGACUUAUUCUGUAGUGGGAGGCAGCCGUCGAAAGAGAUGAUCGGGGUUGAGACGUAACAAGGAAACGGU
rnacentral:rRNA from 1 species